GCAGUGGUAGUUCAGUGGUAGAGUUCUCACCCCCAAUGUGGGAGACCCAAGUUCAAUUCCUGGCCAGUGCA
rnacentral:tRNA from 1 species